rnacentral:misc_RNA from 1 species
GAUGAAGAACGCAGCGAAAUGCGAUAAGUAGUGUGAAUUGCAGAAUUCAGUGAAUCAUCGAAUCUUUGAACGCACAUUGCGCCCUUUGGUAUUCCAAAGGGCAUGCCUGUUCGAGCGUCAUUUGUACCCUCAAGCUUUGCUUGGUGUUGGGCGUCUUGUCUCUAGCUUUGCUGGAGACUCGCCUUAAAGUAAUUGGCAGCCGGCCUACUGGUUUCGGAGCGCAGCACAAGUCGCACUCUCUAUCAGCAAAGGUCUAGCAUCCAUUAAGCCUUUUUGUCAACUUUUGACCUCGGAUCAGGUAGGGAUACCCGCUGAACUUAAGCAUAUCAAUAAGCGGAGGA